rnacentral:rRNA from 1 species
GUGGAUGACGUCAAAUCAUCAUGCCCCUUAUGUUCUGGGCUACACACGUGCUACAAUGGCCGGUACAGACGGACGCAAAGCCGCGAGGUGGAGCAAAUCCUAAAAAGCCGGUCUCAGUUCGGAUUGCAGGCUGCAAUUCGCCUGCAUGAAGUCGGAAUCGCUAGUAAUCGCAGGUCAGCAUACUGCGGUGAAUACGUUCCCGGGCCUU